rnacentral:rRNA from 1 species
AGGCUGUGUCCUUCGGGACAAGGAGACAGUGGUGCAUGGUUGUCGUCAGCUCGUGUCGUGAGAUGUUGGGUUAAGUCCCGCAACGAGCGCAACCCCUGUGGUUAGUUGCCAGCAAGUAGCGUUGGGCACUCUAGCCAGACUGCCGGUGAUAAAUCGGAGGAAGGUGGGGACGACGUCAAAUCAUCAUGCCCUUUAUGUCCUGGGCUACACACGUACUACAAUGGCCGUUACAACGGGAAGCGAAGGAGCAAUCCGGAGCAAAUCCCUUAAAGGCGGUCCCAGUUCAGAUUGUGGGCUGAAACUCGCCCACAUGAAGGCGGAAUUGCUAGUAAUUGCAGAUCAGCAUGCUGCAGUGAAUACGUUCCCGGGCCUU